GGGGGUAUAGCUCAACGGUAGAGCAUUUGACUACAAAUCAAGAGAUCCCUGGUCCAAAUCCAGCUGCCCCCU